rnacentral:rRNA from 1 species
GAUGAACGCUGGCGGCGUGCCUAAUACUUGCAAGUCGAGCGAAUGGAUUAAGAGCUUGCUCUUAUGAAGUUAGCGGCGGACGGGUGAGUAACACGUGGGUAACCUGCCCAUAAGACUGGGAUAACUCCGGGAAACCGGGGCUAAUACCGGAUAACAUUUUGAACCGCAUGGUUCGAAAUUGAAAGGCGGCCUCGGCUGUCACUUAUGGAUGGACCCGGGUCGCAUUAGCUAGUUGGUGAGGUAACGGCUCACCAAGGCAACGAUGCGCAGCCGACCUGAGAGGGUGAUCGGCCACACUGGGACUGAGACACGGCCCAGACUCCUACGGGAGGCAGCAGUAGGGAAUCUUCCGCAAUGGACGAAAGUCUGACGGAGCAACGCCGCGUGAGUGAUGAAGGCUUUCGGGUCGUAAAACUCUGUUGUUAGGGAAGAACAAGUGCUAGUUGAAUAAGCUGGCACCUUGACGGUACCUAACCAGAAAGCCACGGCUAACUACGUGCCAGCCGCCGCAGUAA